rnacentral:rRNA from 1 species
UACGAAGGGGGCUAGCGUUGCUCGGAAUGACUGGGCGUAAAGGGCGCGUAGGCGGAUGGCACAGUCAGAUGUGAAAUUCCCGGGCUUAACCUGGGGGCUGCAUUUGAUACGUGUUGUCUUGAGUUCGGAAGAGGGUCGUGGAAUUCCCAGUGUAGAGGUGAAAUGCGCAGAUAUCAGGAGGAACACCGGUGGCGAAGGCGGGUCUCUGGGCUGAUACUGACGCUGGAGGAGCGAAAGCGUGGGGAGCGAACAGG